GUGCUCACUCACUUUGACAGCACAUAUACUCAAACUGGAACAAUACAGAGAAGACUGACAUGCCCCCACACAAGGAUGACACACAAAUCUGAGAAACAUUCUAUUAUAAU